AUUGAACGCUGGCGGCAGGCCUAACACAUGCAAGUCGAGCGAGCGGCGGACGGGUGAGUAAUGUCUGGGAAACUGCCUGAUGGAGGGGGAUAACUACUGGAAACGGUAGCUAAUACCGCAUACCAUCAGAUGUGCCCAGAUGGGAUUAGCUGGUAGGUGGGGUAACGGCUCACCUAGGCGACGAUCCCUAGCUGGUCUGGGAGGAUGACCAGCCACACUGGAACAGAGACACGGUCCAGACUGCUACGGGAGGCAUCAGCAGGGAAUAUUGCACAAUGGGCGCAAGCAUGAUGCAGCCAUGCCGCGUGUGUGAAGAAGGCCUUCGGGUUGUAAAGCACUUUCAGCGAGGAGGCGUUACCUGCAGAAGAAGCACCGGCUAACUCCGUGCCAGCAGCCGCGGUAAUUC
rnacentral:rRNA from 1 species